rnacentral:lncRNA from 1 species
AUGGCUUUGCCUCCUGAGCGCAGAGAUGAGCGCGCUCCUGCGCCCCCACACUCGCACCUGCACGUGCACACCCCCCACACUCACACCCGUAUGUGCACCUCCCACACUCACACCCGCACGUGCACACCCCCACACUCACACCCCGUAUGUGCACACCCCACACGCACGUGCACACCCCCCACAACACACCCGUACGUGCACCUCCCACACUCACACCCCACGUGCACACCCCCCACACUCACACCCCAUAUGUGCACACCCCACACGCACGUGCACACCCCCCACACUCACACCCGUACGUGUACACCUCCCACACUCACACCCCCAUGUGCACACCCCCACACUCACACACGCACGUGCACACCCCGCACACUCACACCCCAUAUGUGCACACCCCACACUCACACAUGCACGUGCACACCCCCACACUCACACCCCAUAUGUGCACACCCCACACUCACGUACACAUGUGCACACCCCCACACUCACACCCGCACGUGCACACCCCCCACACUCACACCCCAUAUGUGCACACCCCACACUCAUGCACGUGCACACCUCCACACUCACACCCGCACGUGCACACCUCCCACACUCACACCCGCACGUGCACACCCCCCACACUCACACCCCAUAUGUGCACACCCCACACUCACACCCGCACACUCACACCCCAUAUGUGCACACCCCACACGCACGUGCACACCCCACACGCACGUGCACACCCCCCACACUCACACCCGCACGUGCACACCUCCACACUCACACCCGCACGUGCACACCCCCCACACUCACAACCCCAUAUGUGCACACCCCCCACACUCACACCGCACGUGCACACCUCCCACACUCACACACGCACGUGCACACCUCCACACUCACACCCGCACGUGGACACCCCCCCACACUCACACCCGCACAUGCACACCUCCCACACUCACACCCCAUAUGUGCACACCCCACACUCACACCUGCACGUGCACACCCCACACACUCAUGCACGUGCACACCCCACACACUCACAGCCGCACGUGCACACCCCACACUCACACA